UACGAAGGGGGCUAGCGUUGCUCGGAAUCACUGGGCGUAAAGGGUGCGUAGGCGGGUCUUUAAGUCAGGGGUGAAAUCCUGGAGCUCAACUCCAGAACUGCCUUUGAUACUGAAGAUCUUGAGUUCGGGAGAGGUGAGUGGAACUGCGAGUGUAGAGGUGAAAAUUCGUAGAUAUUCGCAAGAACACCAGUGGCGAAGGCGGCUCACUGGCCCGAUACUGACGCUGAGGCACGAAAGCGUGGGGAGCAAACAGG
rnacentral:rRNA from 1 species